AGAUUGAACGCUGGCGGCAUGCCUUACACAUGCAAGUCGAACGGCAGCACGGGAGCAAUCCUGGUGGCGAGUGGCGAACGGGUGAGUAAUAUAUCGGAACGUGCCCAGUCGUGGGGGAUAACGCAGCGAAAGCUGUGCUAAUACCGCAUACGAUCUAUGGAUGAAAGCGGGGGAUCGCAAGACCUCGCGCGAUUGGAGCGG
rnacentral:rRNA from 1 species